ACCCAUUGACAUAUCAUAUUUACUCACAAUGCGGAGAUAGAAGCCCCCAACAUUGUAAUACAAGAUCAGAUCGAAAAAACUUUGUAAUACAAGAUGAGGGCUACACAAAUUCUACUCCUAGUCCUUGUCCUCUUCAUGCUAUCCCCAGAUCUGGCAAAGGCUAAGCUGGAGUGCACGGAUUUCCUCAUAGCCAACCAGUGCGACGUCGACGAGAUCACAUGCCAACAUUACUGCUACAACCAGUUCAACGGAACCGGCAAGUGCAUCCACAAGAAAGGAUGCCAGUGUCAUUUCUGCUAUGCAACUCCACCAAAGCCAUCGCCUGCUAGCAGCUCCUAGUCGUAGUUUUCUCUUUAAUUUUCUGUUUAAUCAAGGUCAAUGUACAACAAUUAUGACACAAUUAACUACAUGUACUGUGGCCUAUGCUGCGAAGUUAUAUGUUAAUCAAGGUCAAGGAUAGAGCACUCGCUGAAAAUGAAUAAACUCAUAUGUAAAUUAA